AUCCCCUGAUGGUUAACUGAUCCAACGUCUCUAGAUCCAUCAUUGACUGGCCUUUGCAUGCUGAUUAGAAUGCCACAUUUUUUCACAUUUUUUUAUUUCUUUUUAGUAUAUUUUUAUUUCUUUUUUUCUUCUGAUUUUUUUAGUGGGCUCUCCUUCCAUUUGGGCCUUGUCCAAUUGCUUUUUACACACCCCUAGUUCAACAUCCCAAUGGCAUCUCACACCCCUCCCAUUUUUUAUUUUCUUCUUUUUUUUAUUAGUUUUUAUUUUUAUUUUUAGGUUUUUUUAUUUUAUUUUUAGGUUUUUUUAUUUAGUUUUUUAUUUACUAUACUUAGAUAUUUAUUUUGUUUAUGGCUUAGUUUC
rnacentral:lncRNA from 1 species